UGGGGAAUUGUUCGCAAUGGGCGCAAGCCUGACGACGCAACGCCGCGUGGAGGAUGAAGAUCUUCGGGUCGUAAACUCCUUUCGAUCGAGACGAAUGGCCCCUGGGCUAAUCACCAGGGGAAUGACGGUACCGAGAGAAGAAGCCCCGGCUAACUCCGUGCCAGCAGCCGCGGUAAUACGGGGGGGGCAAGCGUUGUUCGGAAUUACUGGGCGUAAAGGGCUCGUAGGUGGCCAACUAAGUCAGACGUGAAAUCCCUCGGCUUAACCGGGGAACUGCGUCUGAUACUGGAUGGCUUGAGGUUGGGAGAGGGAUGCGGAAUUCCAGGUGUAGCGGUGAAAUGCGUAGAUAUCUGGAGGAACACCGGUGGCGAAGGCGGCAUCCUGGACCAAUUCUGACGCUGAGGAGCGAAAGCCAGGGGAGCAAACGGGAUUAGAUACCCCCGUAGUCC
rnacentral:rRNA from 1 species